UGUAGGUUCUCAAUGGUGAUAUAGCAAGUAAGUGCUAACUAGGAUUAUUUGCUUGCCAUUUAUCAUUCUGAAGAUAGCUUUACUUCAGUUGAUUCAUGAAAUAUUUUAUAUUUCUCAAGUAUGAUUUUCUUAUUAAUUAGUACCCUAUUUAAUUAGUUUCAGACCACAUGCUUGGAAUGUGUCACUACAAGUUUCCAUGACUGUAACAGAUGUGAACUCAGAUGAGUGCUUGAUGACAAGAAUGCAAGAAAUGUCACUGGAUUACCAUUUCAUAGCUGAAUGCACUUUUACUGCAACUAUACCGGGAAUAGAAUGAAUUAAUGUCAUCAUAGAAGCUGCCAAAGAACGAUUUGGUGAUUCUCAAAGAAAAUAAGCAAUAGGUUCUACGAGUUUGGUGAAGAGUAAGUGAAGAACAUUGAUAAUUAUGUAACUCUUUUGUUUUCUUGAACAGGUGGACUUAUUGUUAGCAAGCACAAGUAAUGCAAUAUUAAUGAUAGAGUCAGACCUGUACUGCAAAUUAGCUUGUUGUAGCUGGUUGCAUUUCUUUUUAGGGACUUUGUUUUAAGUUUGUAGUCAAAAUACUUUGUUUUUUUAUGUAGAAUAAUAAGUUUUGCAUGUCUAUAAAUAUGUUGUAAACUUAAAUUCAAAUGUAAUAUAAUUUUUGUAUUUCAUUUGUGUUUGGUUUGA